rnacentral:rRNA from 1 species
UGAGGAAUAUUGGUCAAUGGGCGCAAGCCUGAACCAGCCAUCCCGCGUGAAGGAAGAAGGCGCUAUGCGUUGUAAACUUCUUUUCCAGGGGAAUAAAAUGAGGUACGUGUACUUCACUGCAGGUACCCUGGGAAUAAGCAUCGGCUAACUCCGUGCCAGCAGCCGCGGUAAUACGGAGGAUGCAAGCGUUAUCAGGAUUUAUUGGGUUGAAAGGGUGCGUAGGCGGAUCAAUAAGUCAGUGGUGAAAACCUUCAGCUUAACUGGAGACUUGCCAUUGAUACUGGUGG